UUAUUUUGUUAUAAUAUUCUUUAUAUAUUCAUUGUGAGACUUGUGGAUGAUGCCAUCUUGUCUGAUCUAAAAAAAAAAUCACGCCCUUCGGAGAACUUCCACACUUCUGGUUUCAGAGUAUACAAAGAAGAGUCAUGAGUUAGGUGAUAGUUAUGGAAUAAUUUUGUCACAGGUGACAACGGAUAUAUUCAAUUGUAGUAACCUCAAUCCCGUCCUCUUUUCCUCUAUUGAAACCAGUGGUAACACUAUUUGACGGUCGUGUUAAUCUUAUGGUCGGUCUUUUAGGUUUCAAAACUACUUUCGUUUCAGAUAAACCAUGACUAUCAAAUGAUAACUAUGGUACCGCUUACAGUGUGCUUGGCACAUUUUUUUCAGAAUUCCAUUGACCGUCAUCUAGUUCCGUUAAACAAAGUUGGGAACCUUAAAAAUAAACUUCAAAUUUUUAAUUUCUAUGCGUUUGAUUUAUUUAUUUACAACCACUGGGUCGAUACCACUUCUGCUGGAGUUUUUAUUCUCCGAUGGUAUCACCAGCCCAGUAGUCAGCACUUCAGUGUUGACAUGAUUUUUCAUUGAUAUGGUCAUUAUUAUAAAUUAUUUCUUUUACAAAACUU
rnacentral:lncRNA from 1 species